rnacentral:lncRNA from 1 species
AUGGUUCUCGUUUCUUUUGAACCCGGGGCCGGCCACGCGCACAGGUCGGGAGGCGGGCGCGCGGGGCCUCCGCAGGCCGGGGCCGCAGUGCGGGCGGGCGGGGCGGGACGAGGGGAACUUCCCGCGGGGCCUGCUCGCCGGCCGGCCUCCCCGCCUCCCCGCCUCCCCGGCCUCCCCGGCCUCCCCGGCCUCCGUGGCGCCCGGCUGCACGCAGCGACCGCGGCCGCCGCGCCCUGGCCCUCCCGGAGCCGGGGACCGCGCCGGCCGGCCGCAGCCCGGAUUCAAAACGGGUCUCCCCACCCCCAUCCCCGCGCCCCUGCCCCCGCCCCCGCGGCCGGGCCUCCAGCCCCGCGGCAGGGGCGGGGGCGGGGGCGGGGGCGGGGGCGGGGGGCGGCGGGGGACCCCGGGGCCGAGUCCCGGCCGGGCUGGCCCUGCGGCCCGCGCCCCGCCGCCCACCUGCGGGCGCCGCGUGGAACGGGAUCCCCUGGCGUAGCGCGAGCGAUGGCUGCCCCCGUGAUGCGGGCGACAGUGCCCGCGGAUUCAAGGGGGACCCCGAGCCGCUCCCCCCCCCCCCCCCCCCCGGCGGAGCACCCGCGGCGCCCCGCCGCCCAGCCCGGCUCCCCCGCCGCCGCGCAAGCGCUGGGGCGGGGAGGGGUCAGCCCCCCGGGGUGGGGACCGAGGGGGUGUGCGGGGAACCGAGAGCCUCGAUUGGAACCUACGCGAGCGCUCUCCCGGCGCUGGGCAGGGGCGCGCGUUUGCGUCAGAGGGCGCGCAGGGCUGGCGCAGGGGGCGGGGAGCGGACGCCGGGGGCCUUGCCCGGGGCUGCGGGGGCUGCGGGGGCUGCGGGGCUGCGGGGCUGCGGGGCUGCGGGGGCUGCAGACCCGGCCCGCCCCGCCCCGCCCCGCCCCGCCCCGCCCCGCGAGGUCGCCCUGGGUCGGGCCGAGACUCCCCGGGAGCGGCGGAUCCUAUUCUCCCCCGCUGUGGGCUCUGUGCGCCGGCCCCCACCCCGAGCUUCCAAAUUUGAAAGAGGCCCCGGGGAUGGGGACGACUGGGGGCCCUGAGGCUUCGGGCGAGGCCACCCGCUCCUCCGUACGAGGGGAAGGAGGGGCGCGGUGCCCGGCCCUGGCCCCGGAGGUGGGGGCUCUUGGUGGCGGCGGUGCCCAGUGGCUGGCGCAACUCUCUGCUUUUGGGGAGCGGGGGACAGAUCGCCCUCCUGCCGGCUCUGCGUGCUACAUUUCUGUCUCAAGAGGGGGCAGGCAGGAAGAAACCCAGGUGUUUCGUUCGAGGAAAGGUGCUGGCCUCCUCUGGGACUUGUCCAGCCCAGCGGACCUCGGGGCUGGCUUCUUGUUGGGCCCCGUGUUCCCUACCGCGCGGGCGCUCUCUGCGUGCCCCGCUCGUGCUCCCAGCCUCAGCCCUAGCAAAAUGGCCUCCGCCGAGCCCCGGGGGUCAGCUCAGGUCCUGGGCAGCUCUGCUUUCUCCCUUUGA